GGGGGAGGCCCAAAGAUUAUGCCAUGAAGAACUUCAACAUUCUGGCACGAUCAAAAAAAAAAAAAAAAGUGAAACCUUGGGACGUACUGAUUUUAAGUAGAAUCCUAGCAACUGAAAUUAUCAACUUCCUUCUGUGGGUGAAUGUGAUGCUAAGCUUGAGCAUAGUAAUGAAUUGGUUACCCAUUCAUUUGCUGUAUAGCAUUUACUAGUCUAAAAUUUGGGACAGCAGGCAGAGUUCAGGGAUGG
rnacentral:lncRNA from 10 species